rnacentral:rRNA from 1 species
CCGGCGACCGGCGCACGGGUGAGUAACACGUAUGCAACCUGCCCUCCGCAGGGGGAUAACCCGGAGAAAUCCGGACUAAUACCGCGUGGUACAUCUGUGGGGCAUCCCACGGGUGUUAAAAGGAAGCGAUUCCGGCGGAGGAUGGGCAUGCGGCGCAUUAGCUGUUGGCGGGGUAACGGCCCACCAAGGCGACGAUGCGUAGGGGUUCUGAGAGGAAGGUCCCCCACACUGGUACUGAGACACGGACCAGACUCCUACGGGAGGCAGCAG